UACGUAGGUGGCAAGCGUUGUCCGGAAUUAUUGGGCGUAAAGCGCGCACAGGCGGCCUCUUAAGUCUGAUGUGAAAGCCCCCGGCUCAACCGGGGGAGGGCCAUUGGAAACUGGGAGGCUUGAGUAUAGGAGAGAAGAGUGGAAUUCCACGUGUAGCGGUGAAAAUGCGUAGAGAUGUGGAGGAACACCAGUGGCGAAAGGCGACUCUUUGGCCUAUAACUGACGCUGAGGCGCGAAAGCGUGGGGAGCAAACAGG
rnacentral:rRNA from 1 species